ACGGGGCUCAAACUCACAAAACCAAGAGAUCAUGACCUGAGUUGAAACCAAGAGUUGGACGCUUAACCGACUGAGCCGCCCAGAUUCUUGGAUUUUCAGAGGAGAGCAGACUGUGACCAGUGCUCCUUGUUAGCAAGGACAAGGCCGCGGGGACCCACGUGAGAAGGAAGACUCGUGUCCUUGUGCUCGGGACCCAGCCCCGCCGUCUGUGUCACGGACAGUGCACGGGGUCUGGCCUCCAGGCAGCCACGGCAUGGCGGGGGGGACAAGAUCUCCCACCUGGGCCGAGGGCAGCACAGGACAGCAUGCGCUGGAGAAAGUGGUGGCCCUGAGGCCAGUGGGUGAGCUCUGGGUGAACAUGGGUCCUUCCUGGCCUGGUGCUUGGAGGAGGAAGCUUUCCGAGCAGGGCGGCCAGCGUGGCAUGUGGGGCUCCCCGGAGGUCAAGAGGGGCCAGCCCCGCCCCCCCCCCCCCCCCCCCCGCACCGCAGGCCCUGGCAAGACCCCUGUGGAUGAGAGCCACCAUGGGACCCCGACUGCCCUGGAAGAGGCCAGCCUGCCGGGAUAUUCUGUUCUUCCUUAAAGACACACGCACGUGAACACGCUCCCACACCCACACGUGCACGCACAAAUGCAGGGCACUUGGCGGGAUUUGACCGCUUCUAGCACAGCACGAGGACCCUCUCCUCUCUUCCUGCCCCCCCGACCCCGUGCAGUCCUAACCGCAGCCCUCUGGCCUGGACUUGAUGACCACGGAAGAACAGAAUAUCCAGGGGCCACGAGUAGCCACCCGGGAGGGUGACAGUGAGACAGCAGUGGGGGGUCCGGGUGGAAGGACGCGUCAGGAGCUGAGGACAACGAUGCCAGGGCCUCCCUCCCGGCCACAUUUGCCCUCAACCGGCACCCGGGCCGGGAAGUGCCCAGUCCCGACGCUUUGGACCGGCCACUGGCAAACAACCCCGGGGCGCGGCAGGAAGCAGCCCUGACCCUCACCCUCCUGCUUGCUCCCCUUGAGUCUCCAGCCUCCAGGGGACCCCUCUCGAGGGUCUGCUGCCAUCCUGCCAUCCCAGUCUGCCCGGACUCCUCUCCACCUGUCUGGAAGACAGGUGCCGCUUCCUGACAGGCGUUCCUCUGCCUUCCACAUCCUGGAAGCUUCCCCAGGGCUGAAAAUGCCUGGUGAGUGGCGGGCCAGCCUCAGGUGGACUAUGUGGGGCCUCCACGGUCCAGAGGUUUCCAGCUGGUGUCCCGCUCAGUCGUCCGAUGGCCGGUCGCCCGUGUCCACCUUGGAGCUGAGUUGGGCCGGGAGAUAGCAGAGUGGGAAGCCCAGAGAACGUUCUAGGCGGGCCUGCCAGGGACAGGGAGUGAGCGCCUCUGUCUGGGAGGCCCGUGGGAGGCUACUGGUCCAACGGCACUGCCAGAGGACGUGUGUGAAUCCCAACUCCCGAGGCAGACGGCCUCGGAGGUGUGGGCCACCGCCUGCCUCUGACGCGGCUCGUUCUGUUCGCCUCUGCUUCCUGGCCCGCUGUGGGUGGAGUCCCCUGCCAGGAACGAUGGUGCCACCUGGCUCCGUCCUCGACGCUCUGACGUCUGCACUCCGCCGUUUGGGCCAAGAUGGAAACCAAGCGGAACGUUCCUGACGUGGGAUCUCCUCGUCCCACGGUCCCGUGGCACCCA